rnacentral:rRNA from 1 species
GAUGAACGCUUUCUUCUUUCCUAAUACAUGCAAGUCGAGCGAACAGACGAGGAGCUUGCUCCUCUGACGUUAGCGGCGGACGGGUGAGUAACACGUGGAUAACCUACCUAUAAGACUGGGAUAACUUCGGGAAACCGGAGCUAACACCGGAUAAUAUAUUGAACCGCAUGGUUCAAUAGUGAAAGACGGUUUUGCUGUCACUUAUAGAUGGAUCCGCGCCGCAUUAGCUAGUUGGUAAGGUAACGGCUUACCAAGGCAACGAUGCGUAGCCGACCUGAGAGGGUGAUCGGCCACACUGGAACUGAGACACGGUCCAGACUCCUACGGGAGGCAGCAGUAGGGAAUCUUCCGCAAUGGGCGAAAGCCUGACGGAGCAACGCCGCGUGAGUGAUGAAGGUCUUCGGAUCGUAAAACUCUGUUAUUAGGGAAGAACAAAUGUGUAAGUAACUAUGCACGUCUUGACGGUACCUAAUCAGAAAGCCACGGCUAACCACGUG